rnacentral:rRNA from 1 species
AGAAGUGAAUGCUAGUCUUAAGGACUAAGCCAUGCAAAUGUAAGCGCAGGGCAACGCUUCCCGCAAGGGGGCUCAAAGCCCGCAAGCCGUGUUCGGCUCAGUAACGGAAUUUGCAUUGUGUUGCUGGCCGUGCCGUUCCGGCACGUGGAUAACUAUUCUAAAGACGAUAGCUAAUACAUGAGAACCAUCGGCCGCGUCAAGGCGCGGCCGAACGCACCGCAUCGUGCGGUCGAGAUCGCUUUGCUCGAAUAGGCCCCCCCAGUAGACGCCCUACGAACAAAGCUAACCGAUUCUAUCGGAUCAGAACUAUAUUGAUUUGUUUAUCAUAAACAGUAGGGCGUAUCGGGGGCUAUGUAAUUGAUCACGGACAGCGGGGAAUUAGGGUUCGAUUCCGGAGAGGUGGCCUAACACAUGGCCGCCAGCUCUAAGGAGCGCAGCAGGCACGAAAAUUACCCAAUGAGAGCUACUCGAGGUAGCGACGAUAUGUGAUGGUGUGAUCUCUCAAGGAGAGAUCGCAAUCGGACUGAAGUGUCCCUAAGAAGCACGCUUAAAGCUACUGGAGGGCAAGUCUGGUGCCAGCAGCCGCGGUAACUCCAGCUCCAGUGGCGUAUGUUUAAGUUGCUGCGGCUAAAAAGCUAGUAGCUUAGUCUAGUGGACCACUAGUUGUUGCCACUCGACACUGAGAGCAGCCAUUAGUUGAGUGCACCGAAGUAUCGGUCGCGUCACUAACGCACGGCAAACCAAGGAUUAUAACCAAUUGCCGCGAGACAUGACCCUGCGUACUGCCCUUAACAAAGUAAAUCGAUUCAGGGGUUCAUGCUUCUUGCAUAAACAAAGAGAAGGGUACAGUAGUAUUGCCCUUCGACUCGGACCGCCGCAAAGCGGCCCUGUCGUAUGCGGAUACCGAUGCCAGAGACUAUCUGUUAUAAUUAAUUGAGCCCUGGUUUCUCGGAGCUAACAGGAUAAUUUNCCNNNAGGUGAAAUUCAGAGACANUUAUCGGGUUAGCAGAGGCUGAGGCGGCCACUGAUUCGCUUCCCAGUCGAAUCUAAGUCUAGUCAGUUGGCGGCCGAUCCGCUCGGCCACCUGCUCCGUGUUAGCCGAGACCUGGGUACAGAGCACCGGCGUCGCGACAAUUCGCUCCGCGGCGCCACAUAAUCAGUGGUCUAUUUCUCUUGGCAUCAGUCAAGAACGAAAGUUAAAGGAUCGAAGGUGAUUAGAUACCGCCGUAGUUCUAAUCGUAAACUUUGCCUCCUAGGCAUGCAAAGAGUUACAAAACUAAAGUACACAAUAAACACACUCUUUACGAGUCCCCCGGGAAACCUGUAAGUUAUCGGGCUCCGGGGGAAGUAUUGUUGCAAAACAGAAACUUAAAGGAAUUGACGGAAGGGCACCACAAGGAGUGGAGCUUGCGGCUCAAUUUGACUCAACACGGCAAAACUUACCAGGCCCAUACAUUAGUAUGAAAGACAGAUUGAUAGCUCUUUCCUGAUUUUGUGGUUGGUGGUGCAUGGCCGUUCUUAGUUGGUGGAGCGAUUUGUCUGGUUAAUUCCGUAAACGAGCGAGACUCUGUCUAGUUAAUAGGCACACGUACACGAUGCCUGCGCGUUCGCGCGCACAGCACGAGUAUUCAAUAUGUCGAGCAAGCAGGGGAGGAGCGCGCCGUCGCCUCGGCGGCGGCGCGGUUGCCCAUGACAGCCAGACAUAGUACGUGGUAGCACGUACGCGCGCCAAUGUCGCGCGUACUCUUCUUAAGAGGACAAGCUAUGUCAAAGUAGCAUGAGAAGGAGCAAUAACAGGUCUGUAAUGCCCUUAGAUGUUCUGGGCUGCACGCGUGCUACAAUGAGUGAAGCACCGAGCGUACCGGGGCCGAAAGGUUCUUGGUAACCUUGUAAAUUUCAUCUCAUAGUUGGGAUUGUGGGUUGCAAUAUCCUCAUGAACCCGGAAUCCCUUGUAGUGCAGGGACACUAGCUCAACGCGAAUACGUCCCUGCCCUUUGUACACACCGCCCGUCGCUACUACCGAUGGGUGUGGGGGUAAGGUCUUUGGACCUAAGCUAUAAGCGGUCGUCGCGCCUCGCGCGCGCGGCCGCGAGAAAUACACUAGGAAAGAUGAUCGAACUUGUGUAUCUAGAGGAAGUAAAA